GUGCCAGCAGCCGCGGUAAUACAGAGGGUGCGAGCGUUAAUCGGAUUUACUGGGCGUAAAGCGUGCGUAGGCGGCUUUUUAAGUCGGAUGUGAAAUCCCUGAGCUUAACUUAGGAAUUGCAUUCGAUACUGGGAAGCUAGAGUAUGGGAGAGGAUGGUAGAAUUCCAGGUGUAGCGGUGAAAUGCGUAGAGAUCUGGAGGAAUACCGAUGGCGAAGGCAGCCAUCUGGCCUAAUACUGACGCUGAGGUACGAAAGCAUGGGGAGCAAACAGGAUUAGAAACCCCCGUAGUCC
rnacentral:rRNA from 1 species